CCUUCAAUUGCUCAGUCGGUAGAGCGGUGGACUGUAGAUCCUUAGGUCGCUGGUUCAAAUUCGGCUCGAAGGA
rnacentral:tRNA from 1 species